UGGGGAAUUUUGGACAAUGGGCGCAAGCCUGAUCCAGCCAUGCCGCGUGCGGGAAGAAGGCCUUCGGGUUGUAAACCGCUUUUGUCAGGGAAGAAAUCUUCUGAGUUAAUACCUCGGGAGGAUGACGGUACCUGAAGAAUAAGCACCGGCUAACUACGUGCCAGCAGCCGCGGUAAUACGUAGGGUGCAAGCGUUAAUCGGAAUUACUGGGCGUAAAGCGUGCGCAGGCGGUUUUGUAAGACAGAGGUGAAAUCCCCGGGCUCAACCUGGGAACUGCCUUUGUGACUGCAAGGCUUGAGUGCGGCAGAGGGGGAUGGAAUUCCGCGUGUAGCAGUGAAAUGCGUAGAUAUGCGGAGGAACACCGAUGGCGAAGGCAAUCCCCUGGGCCUGCACUGACGCUCAUGCACGAAAGCGUGGGGAGCAAACAGGAUUAGAUAGCCCUGGUAGUCCACGCCCUAAAACGAUGUCAACUGGUUGUUGGGAAGGUUCCUUCUCAGUAACGUAGCUAACGCGUGAAGUUGACCGCCUGGGGAGUACGGCCGCAAGGUUGAAAACUCAAAGGAAUUGACGGGGUCAUAGCUGUUUCC
rnacentral:rRNA from 1 species